rnacentral:rRNA from 1 species
UACGUAGGGUGCAAGCGUUGUCCGGAAUUAUUGGGCGUAAAGAGCUCGUAGGCGGUUUGUCGCGUCUGCUGUGAAAACCCGAGGCUCAACCUCGGGCCUGCAGUGGGUACGGGCAGACUAGAGUGCGGUAGGGGAGAUUGGAAUUCCUGGUGUAGCGGUGAAAUGCGCAGAUAUCAGGAGGAACACCAGUGGCGAAGGCGGUGCUCUGGGCUGGAACUGACACUGAGGAGCGAAAGCGUGGGUAGCAAACAGG